UGGGCCAGGCAGAGACUGAAGACUGAACGAGUGUGGCCAGCAUUCCUCCUGCACCUGCCCGGAGCCGCCAGUCCCAGUCGUCAAUGUUCCCAGAAGUGGCUUUGCUGCUCCUGGACUCUUACUGGCCCCCCAUCGACCCUUGGACCAAUAACUGCCAUAAAAAUAAUCCUGAUCCUGCAGCCGCAGAGGUGUUGAUGCCUAAGAAGAACCGGAUUGCCAUUUCUGAACUCCUUUUUAAGGAGGGAGUCAUGGUGGCCAAGAAGGAUGUCCACAUGCCUAAGCACCCGGAGCUGGCAGACAAGAAUGUGCCCAACCUUCAUGUCAUGAAGGCCAUGCAGUCUCUCAAGUCCCGAGGCUACGUGAAGGAACAGUUUGCCUGGAGACAUUUCUACUGGUACCUUACCAAUGAGGGUAUCCAGUAUCUCCGUGAUUACCUUCAUCUGCCCCCGGAGAUUGUGCCUGCCACCCUACGCCGUAGCCAUCCGGAGACUGGCAGGCCUCGGCCUAAAGGUCUGGAGGGUGAGCGACCUGCGAGACUCACAAGAGGGGAAGCUGACAGGGAUACCUACAGACGGAGUGCUGUGCCACCUGGUGCCGACAAGAAAGCCGAGGCCGGGGCUGGGUCAGUAACCGAAUUCCAGUUUAGAGGCUGAUUUGGUCGUGGACGUGGUCAGCCACCUCAGUAAAAUUGGAGAGGAUUCUUUUGCAUUGAAUAAAACUUACAGCCAAAAAACCUUAAAAAAAAAAAAA